CAAUAGUGCAGGCUUUGACCAGUCAUGCUCUGGCUAUAUUCCAGGUCUCAGUUGGUCCUGGGUAUAACCAAAGCCUCACUGUUCAUAGGCCUCUAGAA
rnacentral:pre_miRNA from 1 species